UUUAAGAGUAGUUAUGGUUUCUGUGUCCAACGUGUUUGACUAUCUGUGAGUCUGUCUUCAAAUAUCUUAUGAUUAGUAUUUUUAUUGUUAUUAGAUGAUAAAACAUAAAUGGUACUUUGUACAUGACUUAUUUUUUUAAUCUUUUUAUGAAAUUUUCAAAUAAGCGGACAAUCAAACUUUAGAUACAGAAACCCACAACUACACUUAAA
rfam:Oryza sativa Japonica Group DNA, chromosome 3, cultivar: Nipponbare, complete sequence.